rnacentral:lncRNA from 1 species
GUGUCAAUAUUACCUUCUAGGCACAUAUCACUCGUAUUUCUAUGCAUUUUGGCAUUCUGGUGAUUGCGUAUCAUUAUAACGGCAUGAGGCAUGAAAAAACUAAAUGGUUUCACAUGACUAAUGUGAAUAGUCUUUUUAUCCACUAGAAUUUGGUGGUAGACAGAGAACCAUAUUUCUUUGUAUGCAGAAAUAGCCAGCUAAAUACAAUUGAAAAUAUUAGAGUUAUUACAAUGG